CCUACGGGAGGCAGCAGUGAGGAAUAUUGGUCAAUGGCCGCAGGGCUGAACCAGCCAAGUCGCGUGAGGGAUGACGGUCCUAUGGAUUGUAAACCUCUUUUGUCAGGGAGCAAAGGGCGCCACGUGUGGCGCUUUGCGAGUACCUGAAGAAAAAGCAUCGGCUAACUCCGUGCCAGCAGCCGCGGUAAUACGGAGGAUGCGAGCGUUAUCCGGAUUUAUUGGGUUUAAAGGGUGCGCAGGCGGAAUGUCAAGUCAGCGGUAAAAUUUCGGGGCUCAACCCCGUCGUGCCGUUGAAACUGGCGUGCUUGAGAGAGCAAGAGGUAUGCGGAAUGCGUGAUGUAGCGGUGAAAUGCAUAGAUAUAACUCAGAACACCGAUAGCGAAGGCAGCAUACCGGCGCUCAACUGACGCUCAUGCACGAGAGCGUGGGUAGCGAACAGGAUUAGAUACCCUGGUAGUC
rnacentral:rRNA from 1 species